rnacentral:rRNA from 1 species
CCUACGGGGGGCUGCAGUGGGGAAUAUUGGACAAUGGGGGCAACCCUGAUCCAGCCAUGCCGCGUGUGUGAAGAAGGCCCUCGGGUUGUAAAGCACUUUCAGUGAGGAAGAACGCCUGGUGGUUAAUACCCAUCAGGAAAGACAUCACUCACAGAAGAAGCACCGGCUAACUCCGUGCCAGCAGCCGCGGUAAUACGGAGGGUGCGAGCGUUAAUCGGAAUUACUGGGCGUAAAGCGCGCGUAGGUGGCUUGAUAAGCCGGUUGUGAAAGCCCCGGGCUCAACCUGGGAACGGCAUCCGGAACUGUCAAGCUAGAGUGCAGGAGAGGAAGGUAGAAUUCCCGGUAUAGCGGUGAAAUGCGUAGAGAUCGGGAGGAAUACCAGUGGCGAAGGCGGCCUUCUGGACUGACACUGACACUGAGGUGCGAAAGCGUGGGUAGCAAACAGGAUUAGAUACCCUGGUAGUC